rnacentral:snRNA from 1 species
AUACUUACCUGGCAGGGGAGAUACCAUGAUCACGAAGGUGGUUCACCCAGGGCGAGGCUCAGCCAUUGUUAUUGGAAGCUGCUUCCUGUGUAUAUAAAUAGUGUGUAGUCCCAGCCUCCUGCAGGAUGUGUUUGUGCUGAU